AUUAUCUCAGUAUUCACCAUUUUUUUUUUUUAUUAUUUUUUAUUUUUUUAUAGGCCAUAUUUCAAUAUUAGAUUAAAAGCAGAAGUUAUAUUUUUAAACUCGUUAGCACUUAUGUGUGCAGGAGGACUAAUUUUUUUGUUUAUUUAUGUAAAAAAGAAAAAAAAAAAAAAAAAAAUAAAAUAAAUAAUCAAAUAUAUAUAACUUAAAAUGAUCAAUAUAUACAAAUACAAAAAUAAAUGGAUAUGUUUUUGAUAAAAAUAAAAUAAGCAUAAAAAUAUAUGUGUAUAUGUAAGUAUGUUUUUUAUACUAUUUAUAAUAAUAACAGUUUUAUGAAAGUAGGCUCAUUUAAUUUUUUUUUUUUUUACUUUAUUUAUGUGAAACAUUUUACAGAUGCAUAGAAUAGACAGGAAAUUAUUACCUAAAAAUAUUAUAAAAUAUUUACUCAAUAGAUAUCAUAUGGACUCGUGCGAACAAAACAUAAACCAGAUUACUCCUUAUUAUAAAUUAUUAAAACAACAAUCACUUUACCCUUCAAAAAUAAAUUAUUUCCUUUAUAAAACCACAUUCCCGAAUAAACACGAACAAUUAUUCCUAUUUUGGGGCAAUGGACCAGCUAUACUAAAUUUUAUUUUUCAAACACUAUGUUUUUGUUUCUUAAUCAUAUUGUCUUGCUGGAUGUUUUUAUUAAAAGUAGAUAAUAUAACAUGGUUACAAUUAUAUAAAUACGGUAGUUUAAUUAUAUGUGGAUGUAUAUUAUUUUUUACAUUUAUAUUAAAAUAUAUUGUGUAUUAUUUUAUAAUGAUAAGUAAAACGGGUUAUUUAAUUGACACGAAGUUGUUAGAAAAGGUAUGGGAAUUUGAAAGAUCAGAUAACAUAAAGAGAAUAUCCGAAUUUAUUGAUGCUAUAAAAAUAAAGUCCACCUUACAUGCACUUAAAGAAGGAGGGGAUGUAUUUUGGAGACAGUUGUUAAUAAAAUCAAGCACAGUGCCAUCAAAUAUACAGGAAAAAAUGUUUUCCAUAUGGGUUAGUUUAGAUGAGGAAAAUAGAGGUGUUAUUGAUUCUGUAAAAAUAUUAAAAUUUUUAAAAUCUCAGGGAAUUAAUUUGAAUUCAGAAAAUGAUGUUAAAGUAAGAUAUAUUUUUUUUUAUUUUUUAUGGCAAAAAAAAAAAAAAAAAAAAAAAAAAAAAAAAAAAAAAAAAAAAAAAAUGCUAGUAUGGCACACCUUUUCAUUUUGCUACAUCUGAAUAAACAUAAUUUUUUUUUAGGAAUUCUUGGAAGUAUUUGAUAGAAAUAACAAAAAAGGUUUAAAUCAGGAAGAGUUUUUUGUUCUUAUUAUUAUAGUUAAACAAAUUCUUGUAGAACUUUUAGAUAUUAAUGCUGUUCAGGUGAAAAUAAUAUUUAUAUAUACUAAUACGGACAAAGUCAAUUUUUCAAAAACUGUGGUUAUAUAUAUAUAUAUAUAUAUAUAUUUUUUUUUUUUAAUUUAUCUUUUGUAGUCUUUAUUCGAAGAAGUGUACUGCAUACCAUGGAAUUCGAUGUCGUCAAUUGACGUUAACAGUUUAAAAAAAAUAUUAUCCGAAGUAAGAAAAAGGAAAAAUUAUAGAAGCAACAUAUUAAUUAAACUUUACAAGUUUAUUUAAAUUAUUUGUAAUCUAUAAGUUUACCUUUUUCAAUUUAUUUUGUAAUUUUGUAAUUUAAAAUUCUUUUUUCUUUUUUUUUUUUAGUUAAACUUACAUUGGCCUUAUGGAAAAAUUCGUAAUCUAAUUGAUUUUGUAUGCGAAAAUAAAAAAACAAAAUAUGUAAGUGCA
rnacentral:lncRNA from 1 species